AAAGGUUUGGUCCUAGCCUUACUGUCAAUUUUUACUGAUCUUAUACAUGCAAGUCUCCGCACACCUGUGAAAAUGCUCUUAAGAACCAAGCGGUUUUAAGAAGCCGGCAUCAGACACAAAAUUAGUCCAAGACGCCUUGCAAAGCCACACCCCAAGGGAAACAGCAGUAAUUAAUCUUAGGCAAUAAGUGAAAACUUGACCUAGUUACAGUUAUGAAAAUCGGCCAAUCUCGUGCCAGCCGCCGCGGUUAUACGAGAGAUUUUAUUGAUAAAUUCGGCGUAUAGGGUGAUUAGGAUAUACUUAAUUUUAAAAUUUAACUUUAGCCAAGCUGUUAUACGCUUCCGCUAAUAAGAAAAUCAUUAUUUUAAUUAAAGAGUUAUUCUGACCUCACGAAAGCCAAGAAACAAACUAGGAUUAGAUACCCUACUAUGCUUGGCUAUAAACUAUAGUGAAUUUUUACAUCAUUCACUCGCCAGAGGACUACUAGCACAAGCUAAAAACUCAAAGGACUUGGCGGUGCCUCAAACCCACCUAGAGGAGCCUGUCCUAAAACCGAUAAUCCACGUUUUACCUAACCACUUUUUGCCAAUUCAGCCUAUAUACCGCCGUCGCCAGCCAACCCCGUGAGAGAAAUAAACUAGGCAAAAUUAACUUAGUUAAAUACGUCAGGUCGAGGUGUAGCAUAUGAAGUGGAAGAGAUGGGCUACAUUUUCUUGUAGAAUAUACGAAUAGCUAAAUGAAAUAAAGCUGGAAGGUGGAUUUAGCAGUAAAGAAAAAUCAUAAUAUUUUCCUGAAAUUGGCCAUGAGGCGCGCACACACCGCCCGUCACUCUCCUCAACAGCCCAAAAACAUUAUUUAAUAUAAAAUAGCUACAAAGAGGAGGCAAGUCGUAACAUGGUAAGUGUACCGGAAGGUGCGCUUGGAGUACA
rnacentral:ncRNA from 1 species